rnacentral:SRP_RNA from 1 species
GUUUUGUCACUGACCUGUAAUCUCUGGUACUAGGGAGACUGGAGGCAGGUGGAUCACUUAAACUCAGGAGCUCUGAGCUGCGGUUGGGCCAAAGCCAAUCAGAUGCCAGUGCUGAGUUCAAUGCAAACAUGGUGGAGUGGAAGGUUACCAGAUUGUCUAAGUAGAGGAGAAGUGACCUAGGUUGGAAAUAGAGCAUGUCAAAGCUUCCGCGCCAAUCAGCAGAGAUCAAGUCUGUGAGUGGCUGCUACAGUUCCAGCGUGAGUAUGAUAGGGAGACCCAGUCUCAA